AUUGAACGCUGGCGGCAUGCUUUACACAUGCAAGUCGAACGGCAGCGCGGGCUUCGGCCUGGCGGCGAGUGGCGAACGGGUGAGUAAUGCAUCUGAACGUGCCCAGUAGUGGGGGAUAGCCCGGCGAAAGCCGGAUUAAUACCGCAUACGACCUGAGGGUGAAAGCGGGGGACCGAAAGGCCUCGCGCUCUUGGAGCGGCCGAUGUCGGAUUAGCUAGUUGGUGGGGUAAAGGCUUACCAAGGCGACGAUCCGUAGCUGGUCUGAGGGGACGACCAGCCACCCUGGGACUGAGACAUGGCCCAGACUCCUACGGGAGGCAGCAGUGGGGAAUUUUGGACAAUGGGGGCAACCCUGAUCCAGCCAUGCCGCGUGCGGGAAGAAGGCCUUCGGGUUGUAAACCGCUUUUGUUCGGGAAGAAAUCCUCUGGGCUAAUACCCCGGGGGGAUGACGGUACCGGAAGAAUAAGCACCGGCUAACUACGUG
rnacentral:rRNA from 1 species